UUACUCCUCGGUUCUGUACUAAAGACGGCCGGUACAUUCUAUAUACUGGCAGGGUUCCUCUUUGCCUCAUUUUUAUUUGUGUUGCUAACGCUUCCUGAAACAAAAGGAGAGAGUCUAGAGAGAAUUGAUGAAUUGUUUCUAAGGCCAUGGCUACAGAGGAUUAACCUAUUCUACUAUCUGAGGUGUUGUUGUCCAUGGUCUAAUGCUUGUAGGGUAAGGACUGCACAAGAAGAGGACACUGUAGCCAUUGUUGGUAUAAAGAAUGAGAACAAAGAUGAUACGAGUGAUGAGGCUGAAGAUGAUGAGAAUGAGUCACUGAUAAAA